CCCAGGUGGUUCAGCUAUUUGAUUAUCAGGUUUAAUAUGGAUCAGCCGUUUAAUUUUAGAAUUGGGUUUAACUUGGUCAGAAGAAAAAAAUCUCCUACCAUACAUGUACCAAUGCAAACCCUAAUGUAUGUGGUUCAGAUUUUUUUAUAUAUAUUUUUUAUUUUUUUCAAUGGCAAGCAAGUUAGCAAAUAAUUAAAUCUAGACACUUAUGGAUUUCUUAGACCUAACAGUUUCAUGUAG
rnacentral:lncRNA from 1 species